GAUGAACGCUAGCGGCAGGCCUAAUACAUGCAAGUCGAACGGUGUCUUCGGACAUAGUGGCGCACGGGUGCGUAACACGUAUGCAACCUACCUUACAUUGGGGGAUAGCCUUUCGAAAGGGAGGUUAAUACCGCAUAAGACAGUAGUCUGGCAUCAGACAGCUGUUAAAGAUUUAUCGAUGUAAGCUGGGCAUGCGUCCAAUUAGUUAGUUGGCGAGGUAACGGCUCACCAAGACUAUGAUUGGUAGGGGAACUGAGAGGUCAAUCCCCCACACUGGCACUGAGAUACGGGCCAGACUCCUACGGGAGGCAGCAGUAGGGAGUAUUGGGCAAUGGACGCAAGUCUGACCCAGCCAUGCCGCGUGCAGGAAGAAGGCGUUAUGCGUUGUAAACUGCUUUUAUACAGGAAGAAACGACUCUUGCGAGAGGCAUUGACGGUACUGUAUGAAUAAGCACCGGCUAACUCCGUGCCAGCCGCCGCAGUAAAAC
rnacentral:rRNA from 1 species